rnacentral:rRNA from 1 species
UUGGCGGACGGGUGAGUAACGCGUGGGUAACCUGCCUUGUACUGGGGGACAACAGUUGGAAACGACUGCUAAUACCGCAUAAGCGCACAGCUUCGCAUGAAGCAGUGUGAAAAACUCCGGUGGUACAAGAUGGACCCGCGUCUGAUUAGCUAGUUGGUAAGGUAACGGCUUACCAAGGCGACGAUCAGUAGCCGACCUGAGAGGGUGACCGGCCACAUUGGGACUGAGACACGGCCCAA